UUUAAUUCCACUCGAUCCAAAGACCAACAUUCAAUCCCCCUUAUAGUAUUUAAAACCCCAAUUACCCGAUUUUUGCCCCCAUUUUUGCCCUAGUCUCUUCUCUUCCACUUCUCUCUUCACUCCCUCCCGUCCCUCAGACCUCUCUACUGGCCGCACAGUGGCUCCGCCGGCCGGAAAUCUCCAAUACUAGCCGGUCACCUCCAAUCACCACCAAAUUUUCAUUCCCCCUUAAUCUCAAUCCCCUCUUUCCCAUUACAAACUGCAAAUCCUCUAAACCCGCACCAAUCUCCACGAAUCUAGAAAAAACUGAAACCCUAGUCGCCCUUUUUUCCUCAAAUUCAUGAAGUUCUAGAUCACCCGAUGCUACAAUACCGACAUCAAUGGGUAGAGCUUCUCAAGACUUACCUAUUGAUGUCAAUUUCACUCUGAAACUCUGGCAAUAAAUUUUUUGACCACCCCCACCGCCAAUCCACCCUGCAACCACUACUGGCCCUUUAUUUUAGCCUAUUCCCGACCAAAAAUGCUCGUUUCUCUCUAGCACAACACUAGAAUUCAUUGGUUUAUGCGCGUGCUAGAAAAAAUGUCUGUUUCAAGGUCGGGCAGUUAUGGCUCGUCGUCCUUGGAAUCUCAUCGCUACUCGAAUUGGCGUCGAAUUCUCUCGUGUGGUAUAACUCUACCUCCAUCGUCUUUUCUUUUUCUGUUUUUUGUUAGUCAUUAGGUUUAGGUUUCAUUAAUUUCUUUGCUCGUUCUCUUUUUAUAUUACUGAUUCCUUGGUUUUAUAUGUAUGUCUGUACUAGUUAUAUUACUUAGUCGUUUAUCCUUAGCUUGUUUGGCUUAGACUUUGUUUGAUCAUUCACUGUAGUUACGUGUAAAUAUAUUAGGUUAGUAUAUGUUAAUCAUGAUUUCUUUUUUUCUUACCAGAUGGUAUAGUCUAUGAUUAUGAUAGAUUAAUUAAUAUUUGGUUCCAUUUAAACUAAUGUUUAGCCUUUUAGGUCCAAUAUGUUCAGUGUUUAGUCUAGUCUCGUUGCUGCAUUUUUGUGUUAAAUUAUUUGCUUAGCUAUAAAUAAAGCAAUCGAUUUAUUUGUGAUUAGGUUUAGGUUCUCAUUUCAGGUUUAGUAUUUCUGGUUUUGUAUAUGUUUAAGCUAAUUAGUUUAAGGCCUUAACUACAUAUUUUGUUUGAUUGUGGUCAUUAGGUUCUUUUGUUAGUUAAUGGUUCCAGUCUAGUUAUCUGAUUUUGCACCUCGUACUACUUUGAAGUACUAGUUUAGUUUGAUAUUGUUUUGUGAGGGUAGUAAAAGGAGGGUACUUGAGUAUAUGGCCUUUGUUAGGUUGCUUUUUACUUUUAGGGACUGUUUUACUCCAAAAUUCUAUCUACAGUUGAUAAGAAAACUGUUUCUUGGGUAGAUUUUUGGGUUUGGACAGAUUUUCUGUCAAAAAAAUUAUAAUUUUGGAUAGAUUGCACCAAGAAGUCCUUCCUCUCCUAUGUAAAGAGAAGUUCUUUCCUCACUUAGAAUACACAUCUCUACUCAUGGAAAAAAGAACAUAAUUUUGGGAGAAAAGUUUCAGUUGAAACUUCUUUUAGUAAGCUGAAAUUAUGAGCUUUAGGAGUGAGUCUUAGAGUGCAUAAUCUUUUCAGAAAAAUAGAAGAAUCUUAGAGUUUGUUUCUAAGUUCCUUCUCUUGAAAAGUCACUAGUUUUACUAAGAUUUUUGGACUGCUUUAGCACUGGUGAUUUUUACUGAUGUUCCUACUGCUGUUUCUACUGAUUUUCUACUGAAUUUCUAUUGCUGUAUUUUAUUAUUCUGCAAAUCAGGUAACUAUCAAAUUCUUAUAUUGCAAAUUCGUGAUGAAAUAAGAAGGAUUUGACCAUGGUUUGGCUGUUGAAACAUGUUAGAUGUGACUUGGUUCCAAAGAUGAAUGUUAUAUUAGUGUUAUCAUCAUGUAAAUCUAUUAGAAGUUAAGCUAAAUUAUCAGUUCUUCUUUACAUAUGUGGUUAAGACUCUAUUCUGCAAAGUAUAUCUCGAACUGGGAAGUGUAUAUUUUUAUUCACAUUUUUACUUUAGUAAUUAAAGUUCAUUUGUCAUUUCAUUUUCAAUGUUUGAGUUUAGAUUGCAACACUGAUGUUAUAGGAGUGUCCAAUUUAAAAUAGUUCAGUUUCCUUGUGAACUAAUAUGUAGUUUUGGUUGUAAAUUAAUUCCAGUGUAGUUUGAACUUUGUAAGAAACCUUAUACCGGAUUGUAGUUUGUUAUUUUCUUUGGUCUUAUGAUUGCUUUGUUUCACUAAAUAUCAAGUUGGUGUUUUGAUUUUGCAUUUGAAUUAGAAGCAGUGGUUGAGUCGCGUCGUUGCUAUGCAUAAGUAGUAAAAGAUUGGUUUGAGUUUAGUUGGUUUCGUAAUAAGAUUGGAACUAAUGGAAAUGGGUCCAACUUCUUAUAAAAAAUUAGUAAAGUAGGCUGCCUCCUUUAAUAUCACCACAAGUCCACAUUUUAUUAGAUUUAAAUAAUGUAAAUUAGUAGAAAUAAUCUUCUUACACUAGUCUCAUCUUUUAAAUUAGUAAUAGCGAUAAUUGUAAAGCAAAUCCAAUUAACCAUACACUACCCAUAUGUAUGUUUUUUUAAAAGUGGAAAACGAACAAUCAAUCUACAAAGAAAAAUAUUCUUCUUCUUUAAUUAGUUCCAUAACAUGGUCCUUAAAGCUAGUUAAUUAUUUGUUUCAGAAAAUUUGUAAUCGUCUAGUUAACCUUAAAAAUAAAGCAAAAGAUUUUUUUAACGUCACUCUUUUAUUAGUCAACUAAAUAAAAUUUUUUAGAUUUAGUCUACUAAUUAAAUUCACAGAAGUUAGAUGUCUUUUAUAUUAAAUAACUCAAUCACUCAGUGAUGAGUUUUCGAUGUCUUUGCCUUAUAUUGGAUGAUCUAACAAACUUGUUGUCAAGAAUUUGAUAGGGAACCUGACACACUUGGUACACAUUACAAAUGAACAGAUUCCAGCCUGGACUCCAGCUAAUGUGAACUAUUGCAAGUGUAGAAAAUGAAGAAACAAGUUAAGGACCUGAUCCCUUGUGUUUCACUAACAACAAUACGAAAGUCAACUGUGCACAACUGGAAAGUGACUUCCACAGAAACAGUGCACACAGUGCAGCAGUUUUGCAGUCACUUGCCUUUGACCUACCGAGUGCUUACAUCAUUCAAGUGAUGUCAUCAAGGGUGUUCAAUUCUCAAGAGCUUGAAGAACAAAGUUAAACGCUACUACGGACCAGUUCCUAAAUCUAGUAUUUUAUUGUCCUUAGUUGAGUUGUAACUUUGUGAUUGUUCUUAUUGUAAUUACUAAAUUGCUUAGGAACCCUCGUGUAAAACCAUAAACUUUUUGAGUUUGUGUUGUGACUAGAGUUAGUCAUGAAUUAAAGUCUUUGUAACUAGUGAGUGAUAAAGUAGCUUGUGGUAAGAGUAUCACAAGUUAGUUGAGUUGAAGUCCUUGUAAUAGAGUCAUUACAAAGUGGCAUGUAAUAGAGUGUUUACAAGUUAGUGAAGUUGAAAGCCU
rnacentral:lncRNA from 1 species